UAUGGCAAGAAUGAUGAAAACAAAUUAGAUGUGCGAGGGGUGAAUUCCUCUAUGAACUCAAUCAUCGAGGCAUAUUGAUAUUCUGACUUGCCUAUG
rnacentral:snoRNA from 1 species